rnacentral:rRNA from 1 species
GAUGAACGCUAGCUACAGGCUUAACACAUGCAAGUCGAGGGGCAGCGCAGUGUAGCAAUACACGGGUGGCGACCGGCGCACGGGUGCGUAACACGUAUCCAAUCUGCCCGUUACUCGGGGAUAGCCUUCUGAAAGGAAGAUUAAUACCCGAUGGCCUGUAUUUCCGGCAUCGGAGAUGCCUUAAAGAUUUAUCGGUAACGGACGGGGAUGCGUACGAUUAGCUAGUUGGCGGGGUAACGGCCCACCAAGGCGACGAUCGGUAGGGGUUCUGAGAGGAAGGUCCCCCACACUGGAACUGAGACACGGUCCAGACUCCUACGGGAGGCAGCAGUGAGGAAUAUUGGUCAAUGGUCGAGAGACUGAACCAGCCAAGUAGCGUGAAGGAUGACUGCCCUACGGGUUGUAAACUUCUUUUGUUUGGGAAUAAAGUGAGGCACGUGUGCCUUUUUGUAUGUACCUUACGAAUAAGCAUCGGCUAAUUCCGUGCCAGCAGCCGCAGUAACAC